rnacentral:rRNA from 1 species
GACGAACGCUGGCGGCGUGCUUAACACAUGCAAGUCGAGCGGUAAGGCCCUUUCGGGGGUACACGAGCGGCGAACGGGUGAGUAACACGUGGGUGACCUGCCCUCAGCUCUGGGAUAAGCCUGGGAAACCGGGUCUAAUACUGGAUAUGACUCCAUGACGCAUGUUGUGGGGUGGAAAGCCUUGUGCGGCUGAGGAUGGGCCCGCGGCCUAUCAGCUUGUUGGUGGGGUGAGGCCUACCAAGGCGACGACGGGUAGCCGGCCUGAGAGGGCGACCGGCCACACUGGGACUGAGACACGGCCCAGACUCCUACGGGAGGCAGCAGUGGGGAAUCUUGCGCAAUGGGCGAAAGCCUGACGCAGCGACGCCGCGUGAGGGAUGACGGCCUGGUU